rnacentral:tRNA from 1 species
UCCCUGGUGGCUCAGACGGUAAAGCGUCUGCCUGCCAUGCAGGAGACCCAGGUUCAAUCCCUGGGUCGGGAA